rnacentral:rRNA from 1 species
GACGGAGGGUGCUAGCGUUGUUCGGAAUCACUGGGCGUAAAGGGCGCGUAGGCGGCCUGGCGAGUCGGCUGUGAAAGCCCGGGGCUCAACCCCGGAGGUGCAGCCGAUACCGCCCGGCUGGAGGCCGGAAGAGGAGGGUGGAAUACCCAGUGUAGAGGUGAAAUUCGUAGAUAUUGGGUGGAACACCGGUGGCGAAAGUGGCUCUCGGGUCCGGUCCUGACUUUGAGGCGCGAAAGCGUGGGGAGCAAACAGG